UACGAAGGGGGGCUAGCGUUGUUCGGAUUUACUGGGCGUAAAGCGCACGUAGGCGGUUUGUUAAGUCAGGGGUGAAAUCCCACAGCUCAACUGUGGAACUGCCUUUGAUACUGGCAAGCUAGAGUCCGGAAGAGGUAAGUGGAACUCCUAGUGUAGAGGUGGAAUUCGUAGAUAUUAGGAAGAACACCAGUGGCGAAGGCGGCUUACUGGUCCGGAACUGACGCUGAGGUGCGAAAGCGUGGGGAGCAAACAGG
rnacentral:rRNA from 1 species